rnacentral:rRNA from 1 species
UGGGGAAUUGUUCGCAAUGGGCGCAAGCCUGACGACGCAAUGCCGCGUGGAGGAUGAAGGUCUUCGGAUUGUAAACUCCUGUUGCCAGGGACGAAUGGCUCCGACCUAAUACGUCGGAGUAUGACGGUACCUGGUGAGGAAGCCCCGGCUAACUCUGUGCCAGCAGCCGCGGUAAUACAGAGGGGGCAAGCGUUGUUCGGAAUUACUGGGCGUAAAGGGCGCGUAGGCGGCCUCUUAAGUCGAACGUGAAAUCCCCGGGCUCAACCCGGGAACUGCGUCCGAUACUGGGGGGCUUGAAUCCGGGAGAGGGAUGUGGAAUUCCAGGUGUAGCGGUGAAAUGCGUAGAUAUCUGGAGGAACACCGGUGGCGAAGGCGGCAUCCUGGACCGGUAUUGACGCUGAGGCGCGAAAGCCAGGGGAGCAAACGG